UGUGUUGUGAUUUCAGUCGCCUGCUCGACGUCCUGCAGUUUAACUUCCUGCUUCGUUGCCGGAGGAGCAAUUUUAUUUCUGCUGUUUAUUGGAGUCAUCAUAUGGAAAAAAUGUUCUCCGGCUGUGACUCAUCAGGUGACAGAUGAAAACACAGACAAUGAUCUGUCAGAGCGUCAGUCUCUCAUGUUGUAUACAGACCCAGUCACCAACCACAUGUUGGAUCAGCAGAGCCAGAGACCCGUCCUCAUGUCCGACCUGGGACAUGAGCUCAGUUCUGUGGUCUGUCAGCAGGACCGGCCGACGUCUUCCCGUCCGUCCAGAUCCUCACAAACCGUCCCUCACUGUUCAACAGCCGCCAACAACAUCUCGGCCCAGAGCAAGUGUCCGAAACCUGGCAUCCAAAGGCAAAACAGCGCUCCAGGCUCCGCCCGCCUCGUCCAAAGACCUCGUCGUAACUUCAGCAGCCCGGAACUUUCCUGCCUGUUGUCCUGUUCAGAGUCAAAACCACAUGUAGACGUCUCCAGGCUCCAGUGCAGACAUCCAGCUGUGUUGCCUCCAUCGAGCCGGUCUAAUAAGAGUGACGCUUACGUGAAGCUGUAAAAGCUUCAGCCCCGGGUUUAUCAAACCAAACGUAUCUGUGUCAACGUAAAGUGAACGUUUGUGAACGUUUUGUACAAUUAGACGAAAACUAACAAAAGUUUUGUUUUUAACAAA